GUCCUCUUUAGCUCACGAGUAGAGCGCAUCCUUGCCAAGGAUGAGGAAGGGGGUGCGACUCCCUCAGAGGACUCCA
rnacentral:tRNA from 1 species